rnacentral:rRNA from 1 species
UGCCAGCAGCCGCGGUAAGACAGAGGGUGCAAGCGUUGUUCGGAAUCAUUGGGCGUAAAGGGCGUCUAGGCGGUUACGUAAGUCUGAUGUGAAAGCCCGGGGCUCAACCUCGGAAGUGCAUCGGAAACUGUGUAACUUGAAUCCCGGAGAGGGUGGUGGAAUUCCAGGUGUAGAGGUGAAAUUCGUAGAUAUCUGGAGGAACAACAGAGGCGAAGGCGGCUUACUGGACUGUGACUGACACUAAGGUGCGAAAGCGUGGGUAGCAAACGGGAUUAGAUA